UAUCGCCCAAUGGAAGAAACACAAAUGUUUUUUGUUCUCGUGGCUUGAGGCCCUAAGCCAUAAGACCCUGUUGGCCUAAAGAUAGCUUGCACCGGUAGUGAGAUCACGGCUAUUUUGAUGUCAUAUUGAAGCCAAGAAGUGCUGAUCCAGAUACUCAAUUAGGCCAAAGAAGGCCAGGUUUAAGGAUGCAAUAAAAAACACAAGUGUUUUUCAGCUUCACAACUUAAUUGCAAAUGAAUUUUCAACCUAUUUAUUUAUUUACAUAAUUUAGGGUUAGCCAACAUAAUAUACCAUUGAAACACGGCUCUAAUGGUUGCAGAAAAUGGUGUACCGUUGCAUAUUUGGCUAUGAAAUGUUUCAUACUGUGUGCUUUUUGUUGGUUACAUAUGUUUUUUUUUUAAUAUACUGUAGGCUGCUUUUUUUUUUUUAUUUGGCGUGGGGCGCUCUGCACCUAAGUCUUUCUCUGAAAGGGAAAACAUAACCUGAAAAACCUUUUUUGAGCAUCCCUCAAAAUGUUAAUGUUUGUUUCCUUCACCCAGGGUGCAUCGAGUUCCUCAGCCCGUCGCAGCAAGCUGAAGGAGGCAUCACCUAAAAAGCCUCCGCUGCCACUUCUAGAUGAUCCGGGUGCUACACCUCGUGUUUUAUUGAGAGGCAUCAUGCAAACACAAGCCGAAAAACCCAUGGUGUCAAACCAGCCAAGUGCAAAGAAGUUGAAGACAUCACACGGCCCCGCCACAGAAGAAGUGAAGCUCCCCCCCACAGAGACCAGUCUUUAUGAUGACACUCAGAGAGAUCCAGAGGCCCAAUCUGAGCUGGACUUGUCAAACGUUACUUUGGAGGUGAUGCAGCCUGUCACAAAGGGAUUGAGCCGCAAAAGAGACCCGCCCCCAAUGAGUGUGUCCUGUUUUGAGAGACAGCUUGAGCAUCUGACGGGUAGAUACAAAAUACAUCACAAACAGCACAUCCUAGCAGGUGUUUAGGUACAUCAUUUGCAUUUUGUGUGUAAUGUAGUUUCUGCAUCAGUUGUGAUUCCAAAUUGACCAGACACAUUGGCAUGCAAUGUACAAAUCGGACAUCUUUUCUGAAAUCUUCUCACUCAUUGCAGCAUUCACUGGCAGGAAGAAACACUUCCGGGGACUCUGAUCGUAUACCCUAGCACCAAGGAUGUUCUUUAACUCUUCAACCACUAUGCUAAAUGUUGAGAAAAAUGAAUAUCAGACUUUUAGAUCUUCAAAUGUCAAAACGAGUAUUGGUUUUAAAAAUCCUAUAUUGGUCAGACUGCAGAACAGAUAACCAUGGAUUAAUGAUAAGAUUCACACCCUAAAGCCUUUUGUGCAGGAGAAAAGCACACAAGUGGAAAAACUAAACUAAACGAUUUUAAUCACCAAA
rnacentral:lncRNA from 1 species